GACGAACGCUGGCGGCGUGCCUAAUACAUGCAAGUCGAACGCAGUGGGGCCGGGUGAGUAACACGUGGGUAACCUCCCAUCAGAGGGGAUAACACUUGGCAACAGGUGCUAAACCGAUACUGAUGGAUGGACCCGCGGUGCAUUAGCUAUUUGGUGGGGUAACGGAUCACCAAGGCCACGAUGCAUAGCCGACCGGAGAGGUUGAUCGGCCACACGGGGACUGAGACACGGCCCAGAAUCCUACGUGAGGCAGCAGUAGGGAAGCUUCGGCAAUGGACGAAAGUCUGACCGAGCAACGCCGCGUGAGUGAAGAAGGUUUUCGGAUCGUAAAACUCUGUUGUGAGAGAAGCGGUAUCUAACCAGAAAGCCACGGCUAACUACGUGCCAGCCGCCGCGGUAAUUC
rnacentral:rRNA from 1 species